GCUGGGUAUAUGUUGCUGAGAUAGCUUUUCCCAGCACACUCACGGAAGGAUGGGGUUGUGUAAACAUGAUGACUAUAGCAAAACACCAAUAGGGAGGGAUGAUGGGAAAGCCAAACACAGGUCAGGUCAGUAAAGGAAGCACAAGUCCAGGGGCCAGUUCACUCUUCUACCUGAAGCAGAGACAGCACCAGGCGACCUGGAAGCAUACUUCUGGUAGCAAUGGGGACACGGGUCAAAGGGGACUUGAGGUUAUCAGCUUUCAGAAUGAAGACACAUAAUCCCUAUUAGAGUGGAAGACUUAAAAUCGAGUUUGAGACCCACCUUCUGAAACUGCAGGCUCUUGGGAGCCUGAUUUCCGGUGAAGAGUGUUGCUGCUUUGCAUUUUUCACACUUGAACACAGUGAAGAAGAUGAACAUUAAUUAGGAUUAUAGUGCCAUGGAGGCUUACUGUGCUGUGAGAACUCACAAGAAAUAAAAUGCCAUUUCUUUUUUUGGAUGCAAUUCUGAGUGUCAUGUAUGUAUUAGUUCUUGGGCCCAAGCCAAGUUACUUUAGGGGUGAUAUACAAUCUGUUAUUUUUAGAUCAUAUUGGGUAAGGG
rnacentral:lncRNA from 1 species